rnacentral:rRNA from 1 species
UACGGGGGGGGCAAGCGUUGUUCGGAAUUACUGGGCGUAAAGGGCUCGUAGGCGGCCAACUAAGUCGGACGUGAAAUCCCUCGGCUUAACCGGGGAACUGCGUCCGAUACUGGAUGGCUUGAGUUUGGGAGAGGGAUGCGGAAUUCCAGGUGUAGCGGUGAAAUGCGUAGAUAUCUGGAGGAACACCGGUGGCGAAGGCGGCAUCCUGGACCAUUACUGACGCUGAGUGAGCGAAAGCCAGGGGAGCAAACGGG